CUAAAUCAGAAGAACUAGCUGAAUUAUCAAUUCUUGGCUGCAGAUUAGAUGUAUUUUGUCUUUGAGGAGUGUUCUCGCUAGAAGUUGAAACUUGAAAGUGAUCUGGAACAAUCUUUAACUUCCCAAGACAUCAUCCAUGUAGAUAUAUAUUCACUUCAAGAAGAGGCGCAAAUCUUUGACCGUAUAUGUAUGUAGAAAGAGACUUUUUUCCAAUGUUAUCAACAGAGAAAGGA
rnacentral:misc_RNA from 1 species